rnacentral:miRNA from 1 species
AGUGCUCUGCCACUGAGCUACAGCCCCAGCCCUGCCUUCUUCCUUUAUCUCUUUCUGCACUUCUUGAUUUUUCAGUUUGAAUAUUACUAUUAUUUUUCUAACCAUUAAAAAGUAUAAAACUGGGGCUGGGGCUGGGGCUGUAGCUAAGUGGCAAAGUGCU